rnacentral:rRNA from 1 species
AUGCCGCCGCCGCCGGCGACGCUGCCGGACGAGCUCCUCGAGGAGAUCCUCCUCCGCCUCCCGCCGGACGACCCCGGGUGCCUCUUCCGGGCCUCCCUCGUCUGCAAACCCUGGCGCAGCCGCCUCGCCGGCCCCGCCUUCACCCGCCUCUACCGCGAGUUCCACGGGGCGCCUCCCUUGCUGGGGUUCUUCGAGAACGACGAGACGGUACUGUGCUGGUUUUCUCCCUUGUCCCCCACCUCCCCCUUCUUCCCGGUCCACCCCGGCAAGUGUAGUCUCUUCGUGCUCGACUCGCGCCAUGGCCUGGUCCUCUCAAAUACCAUCGGCCCGGACGGCGAACCCCUCUGCCUCAUCGUGUGGGACCCCGUCGGCCACCGCCAGUGGCGGCUGCCCUUGCCGGAUUUCGUGGACUGGCCAACCGUCCCAGACUGCGCGGCGGCGGUGCUCUGCGCCGCCGAUGGCUGCGACCACCUCGACUGCCCUGGCGACCCCUUCCGUGUGGUCUAUGUGGGCACCGAUGACGAUGGCGUCGCGCAAGCUUGCGUCUACUCUUCAGAGUCCCGUGCCUGGAGCCCCGUGACGUCUUGUGAGCACCCUGACUUGCCCCUGCACGUCAUCAGCUCUCGGCCCAAUGCCCUUGUGGGAGAUGCAGUGUAUUUCUUGUGCCAUCAGGAAACGUUCAUCCUGCAGUAUGACUUGUUGAACCAGGAACUAUCAAUGAUUUACUGGCCACCCUUGCCAAAGUGUAAGUGCGACGAGUAUAUCGUUAUGGCCACAGAGGACGGUGAGCUGGGAUGUGCCACCCUGAAGGAGUCCAAGCUCGAACUAUGGUCGAUGGAGGCUGACGCAGGUGGAGCUGUGAAAUGGGUAACACGCAGAGUCGUCGACCUCCAGAACUUGCUACCCUCUCCCCCCAGAUUUUUGGUCUGCUGCGCCAAUGGGGUUCAUGUCUUUUUCGUGAGGACAGAUCUUGGCACCUUCACAGUUGAGCUUAAUUCAGGCCGAGUCAAGAAGGUAUCCAGCAGCAGCGAAGUCAUUCCCUACAUGAGGUUCUACACUCCAGAUCUAGCUCCAUCAACCAUGGCCUCCUCCUCAGAGAACAUUGAGACGGCCCAAGACGAGCACCAUGAUCAACUGUUACCGCACUCAACUGGGGAUGUGGGUGAUGAGAAGGAGAAAUGGGUAGAGAAGGGCGAGGAGGAUUGUGAAUGGGAGGACGGAUGGGAGGAGGAGGCCGAGGAAGAGAAGUGGGAAUGGGAGGGGAAGAAAGCUCUAAAGGAGCUGUUUGACAAGGGGUCCAAGGCGAUUGAGGAGGAGCAAUUCGUUCACGCCAAGCACUGUUUCCAUGAUGUCCUUGAGAGUAGGACGUUAUAUUAUGGGAGGCUUUCUCCAUUGUGUAUUAGCACAUAUUACAAAUAUGGACUUACUUUGCUGUACAAAGCUCGAGCCGAUAUUGCACCGUAUCAAGACUUAGUGAAGGGAGAUGAUACUGGAAUCUCAAUGGCAUCUGGUAGCAAUGUAAAGGAAGGUGAUACUGGAAAAGAUUUGGAUCUGGCCUGGAAAAUGUUCCAUAUUGCUAGAGCAAUAAGUGAAAAUUGCCCUUGGAUGCCUAUGGUUAAAGUUGAUAUAUAUUGUGCUCUUGCUGAAGUUUCUAUGGAAAGAGAAGACAUAGACUACUCACUCCGUGCUAGGUUCAAAGCUUUAGCCAUCUUGGAGCAUUUGGUUGAGCCUGACCAUUGUCGGAUUGUCUUGCUAAACUUCCACAUAUUCCUGGCUUUCACGUCGGCAUCGAAAAUUCGAGACGCGCUCCCAUAUGUUAUAAAGGUUGUGUCAUUGUACAAGUCACGUGUGCGGAAGCUGAGAAAGGCUCUCGAAGAUUUGCUGGCUGUUAAAGGUGAGAAUGCACCUGCUGCUGAAGUUGGCUCAGAAGAGUUGUCACUGGACAAUGAGAUAGAUGUGCUUAAUAAUAUAUUGACUGCACUAGAGAACAAGCUUGAAGACCUGACGCAAGCAACAAUAACCCCAGUCUCGGUGGCAAGUGGAAUGUAUAACAUUGUCUAUGCUGUGCCAAGAGCUGCAUCUCCGACUUUACAAAUUGCUGGAGGAAGUAAUUCUGUGUCUACAGCAGCAACAGUCGAGACUCAGAGUAGUACUGGAAUCGAGCUUGAGACUGCAGGCCAAGGCAUGAAACAAGCUAAUGCCAAGCUGAUCUCUGCUGAACCUUCUUGA